GAGAAGUUGAUCAAAAAUUGAUUGCAAUAUUUGUCCCUAACAAACAUAUAAACAUACAUACAUACAUACAGAGCAAGAUAAGGAGUUUUAGUUUGGAUUGAAGUUCCACUCUACGGGGUUAGGCUUUCGAUACGUUCUCCUUGUAUAUAUAAAAAAACAUACAGAGCAAGUGAAAUCCAAGCUUGUAAUAUAGAGGUACUUCAAAACUUUCACACAAAAUUGUAACAAUUCCUCUCUGCAAUGAAAAAUUGUCCACGGAGAAAAAGGCUUAACUGACACUGCGGGCACAAAAAAAUGUUAACAGAGUACAAUUAAGCACUUAAGCCAAAAUUGCUUUCGCUAUAACUUGGUAACGGAACUUCGUAGGACUUUGAAAUUUUGACAGCUGGUGCGUAUGGUGGUAGGUAAUCGAUUUCCGUCAAAACCAGAAAAUCGAACAGGUUGUCGCUGACGCCCUUUUGGCGGUUAGGGCUCGACAUUCUACACAACGUCCGCAACUUCUGCAUUUGAUCGAAAUUUAUUGAGAGAGCAAUAAUUUAAUGUUGAUAACUUGCGUAUGUUCUUCUCAGUAAAUCAACCAGAUGGACGACGGACAGCCCAUUCAGCUUUAAAGUUGAUAUCAUAUGCAGAAAUAGGCUACUAUUCCACGGAGCUCUUAUUUUGUUAGCUGGAGAUUUUCGGUAGACCCUUCCGAUAAUAAAUUUGGUGCUACGUCAAAAAGUUUACUCUGGCCACUAAUAUGUGUAAGCUAUCGUGAGAAUUCAACAUUCGCACAGGUUGCUUGCAUCAAAGUAACCAAAUAUUCCACACGAGCCGCUAAGUCAGCACAUUCAACAUUCACCGCUAAGUCAGCAAAGCGCAGUGGAAACGUCGGCAGAGGAACAGCAGUGCAGCGCAAAGUGGUGGCUUAGGUUUAAGCUAGGAAAUUAUUUACGGACACACAGUCUUUGAAGAUAAAUUAGAGCGAAACAGAUUUAAGUCCCCAAGGAACGAAUUAUAUUUGGGGAGUGUGUGGAAGGAAGCCAUCAACGAUCAAUGAGAAUCCUGGGAAUUUUUAAACACCACUACCCGAUAGAGAGGGAACGAGACCACAAGUGGGAAUCCUGAAUACUUAUAGAAGUACAUAUGUUAAGGAUGAAAAGAAAUGGCAUAGAAUUGGUUAUAGCCAUAUUGGUAUCGGCAUCAACAGGACGAGUAAUAGACUAUUCCAAUGCAAGGUGCAUUCCGGUGGCCAGCGGUGACCUCGUAAUUUGGGAAAACUUUGGACACAUCAAGCACGUCACCAACUUGACCCUAUACGAAUUACUAAGGGACGCGACAAUCAACGGAAGUCCUCAAAUCAUCAAAUCAAUGGAAGUUGCUAGAAGCGGACGUAAACCACAUAAGUUGGCUAAUACAGACGGUAAAUACUCAUCACAGGCAGGCGAGAGGCUUGUAUGCUCUAGGGACGGUCCAAUUAAUUGACUCGUAGGACAGGCAGUUUACCAUUAACAGAAACAGAGCAAUAAUUACAGAACUAGAUAAUAUAAUUACUUCCACCACAUUCGCAAAAAUUGGAAUCUUGAACCCUAUUCUCUUAGACAGUAACGAAAUAAAUUUCAUAAUGGAAAACGAGUACUUCACAACCCUUACUGUAGCUGAUGUUAUGACGGUAGCUUAGGUUAAGGUUUUACAAUACAAUAAUGAGUUAUGUUUUGUAAUAAGAUAUCCUAUUCGUAAGUUGAGAUGUAGGAAAAUUAUUAUUGUACAGUAGCUCGCGGCCACCAAAUUCUCCACCUUAAAAAAUCCAUCUUAGCUACAUGUCGCAAUCACACCUUACCGGUGAGGAACUGCAGCGACACAACGCCAACGUUUAAUAACGUCGCACCAAUUGCACCGAUAAGUGACGGUCUAGUCGUCAUCAAUGAUCAGCUGGCUGUUGUAGAAGAAAAUAACGAGGCCCCCAUCACGGUCAACGGUACUUACCUAAUUGUCUUCAAGGAUAGCGUAGAAAUCAAUGCACGAUAUUUCACAAUGAAAAUUCAACGAUGCCUCUGAAGCCCGAAACUCUAUCGGCUUCCGCAACCAACCUAACGCAGCAUACCGAGAUACUGAGCGCCUCCUACCUCCACCAUGUAAAUCAACAGAACCUUCAACACAUCAAUCAUCUGCGACAAACAGUUGAACAAGGUUGCGUCGGAGGUUUGUCGGCUACUGGGGUCUUAUUAAUUGCGGGACUCGCAGCUUACGUACUUUGACGCAUGGCCAUGAUCAAGAGCAAGAUUUUCAUAAUCAGGUCCGUAGAGGUUCCAAUCAAAAAUGCUGCUACGAGGACCGUGGACGUCCCUCAUUUAGAAGGGGAGGAGUUAUCGUGGGAAGCCCUCACAUUCCACAUUCGCACAGGUUGCUUGCAUCUAAGCAACCAAAAAUUCUACACGAGCCGCUAAGUCAGCACACUCAACAUUCACACAGGUUGUUUGCACCUAAGCAACCAAAUAUUCUAUACGAACCGCUUAGUCAGCAAAGCGCAGUGGAAACGUCGGCAAAGGAACAGCAGCGCAGCGCAAAGUGGUGGCUUAGGUUUAAGUUAGGAAAUUAUCGUAAGUUUAGUUUUUAUACUCACUUCAAACCGACAGUCAGUGGCUGUAAUAAAUUGUCAAUAAUAUUAGAACAAAAUCGUUUAAUUUGUAUAACGGUCGGUUGCUAAAUGUCUCUUUAACAAUAAAAUAAACAUCAUUAUAGACGUUGGCUGCAUAAAUUAACAGGAAUUCGAUCACGUCGAUAACAAUAUUUAACCUGUAGUUAGUGUUAACCAGACAUUGAGUAAUAGGCCCUAAUUCUGCAACAAGAUGCUUCAGCUGCCAAUUUUUCAAAAAAAUACUAGAUAUUGGUCACGGAAAGGUUCAAAUUGAUGAAGAACCAAAGUUCGUUUCACUUCCACCUAAUUUUUGCGACAACGUGACAUCGUUUGAGGAAUUAAUUUAACAAAAAUUCCAUGGAUUGAGCUCAAUUACAAAAUCAUCAAUGGGCCUGCGAAUGUGCUUUUUAUUUAUUUAUUUAUUUAUUACACAUAUGACCUUAUAUAACAAAUAUUACAAAUUCAACACUUUUUCAUUAAGAGUAGAGAUAGGGUAAUGUUAAUUUUCUUUUACAGCUAUUUUAAUUUUUCUUUUAAUCUGGAUGUAAUAUA